UGGGGAAUAUUGCACAAUGGGGGAAACCCUGAUGCAGCGACGCCGCGUGAACGAAGAAGGUAUUCGUAUCGUAAAGUUCUGUCCUAUGGGAAGAUAAUGACAGUACCAUAGAAGAAAGCUCCGGCUAAAUACGUGCCAGCAGCCGCGGUAAUACGUAUGGAGCGAGCGUUGUCCGGAAUUAUUGGGCGUAAAGGGUACGCAGGCGGUUUAAUAAGUCGAAUGUUAAAGAUCGGGGCUCAACCCCGUAAAGCAUUGGAAACUGAUAAACUUGAGGAGUGGAGAGGAAAGUGGAAUUCCUAGUGUAGUGGUGAAAUACGUAGAUAUUAGUAGGAAUACCAGUAGCGAAGGCGACUUUCUGGACACAAACUGACGCUGAAGUACGAAAGCGUGGGGAGAAAACAGG
rnacentral:rRNA from 1 species